CGGCACCACACCAAGGUAACAGAAGUACGGAUGAUAAGGAACCAUAGGUAAGACCAGUCUUCAGGAACCUGGAAUCCCAGUGAACAAGGGGAAGAUCUGGAGCAAAGACAAGAUAACUCUUGGUGGAAGAGGAUCAGGUAAGGCAAUACUGACCUGGUAAACUGGAUACGUCCAAUUGCCAUGAUGAAGUGCGCAUGUUAAUGCCAAGGGAGUUGGCAGAAGUCAUCAAAAGAUCACUUUUGAUAACCUUUGAUCAAUCAAUGUCAUUUGGAAGAAGAGCACAAAGAUUGAAAGAAAGCAAAUGUUGCUCCUAUUUUCAAUAAUAGCAAGAGGGAGGGAUGGGGGGAAGCACAGGUGGUCAGCUUCACCUUGAUCCUUGGGAAGACAACGCAGCAAGGCCUGGAAGUCAUUUCAAGGCAUGUGAAGGACAUAAAUGUCAUCAGGAGUAGUCAACAUGGACUCAACAAGCUUGAUCACUUUGAUAAACUUCUAUGUUGAAAUAAAUAGCCUGAGAGAUGAGAGAAGAACAGUGAAUAUUGCUUUUAAAGCUCUUCUCACACUCAGGACACUUGUAGAGUCUCUCUCUUGUGUGGGUGCGCUGGUGCAGCUUCAAUUCAGAACUACUCUUGAAGUUUCUUCCACAUCAAAGACAUUUAAAGUGUCUCAAUCCCCUUUGUCUCUCUCCCUGGACAUCAGGGAGACCUUUGGCACUGUGACCCAAAGAUCCUCACAGAGAAGCUCUUGAAGCAUGAGCUGGGUGAGCAGAACAUGACUGCAUUGAAAACUGGCUGGACAGCCAGGACUAGAGCAUGGAUAUCAGAGGUAAAAAGUCCAAUUGCAGACUGAUAAUUAGUGGUGUACUCUAAGACUCAAUACUGGCUUCAGUCCUGCUUAACAUCUUCAUUAAUGGCCUGGAUGAUGGCCAGAGUGCACAUCCAGCAGUUUUGCUGUUGACACAAAACUGGAAAGAGUGGCAGACACACCAGACAGUCAUGGUGCCACCCAGAGAAACCUCAGCUGGCUGGAAAACUGGCUGACAGGAACCUCACAAAGCUCAUCAAGGAGAAGCAAAAAGUUCUGCCCCGAGUGAGAAACAUGCACAUGCACCCAGCUGGAAAACAGCUUGGCAGAAAAGGAUGUGGAAAUCUUGUUGGACACAAAUUUGAACAGUAGCCAGC
ensembl:lncRNA